GCCGGAGUGGUGGAAUUGGUAUACACGCUCGACUUAAAAUCGGGUCCCUUACGGGAUGCGGGUUCGAUUCCCGCCUCCGGCACAA
rnacentral:tRNA from 1 species